rnacentral:rRNA from 1 species
GAUGAACGCUAGCUACAGGCUUAACACAUGCAAGUCGAGGGGCAGCGCAGUGUAGUAAUACAUGGGCGGCGACCGGCGCACGGGUGCGUAACGCGUAUCCAACCUUCCCGUUACUCAGGGAUAGCCUUCCGAAAGGGAGAUUAAUACCUGAUGGUGUUCAAAUUCCGCAUGUUAUUUGAACUAAAGAUUUAUCGGUAGCGGAUGGGGAUGCGUGACAUUAGAUAGUAGGCGGGGUAACGGCCCACCUAGUCUACGAUGUCUAGGGGUUCUGAGAGGAAGGUCCCCCANACUGGAACUGAGACACGGUCCAGACUCCUACGGGAGGCAGCAGUGAGGAAUAUUGGUCAAUGGUCGGAAGACUGAACCAGCCAAGUAGCGUGAAGGAUGAAGGUUCUAUGGAUUGUAAACUUCUUUUAUACGGGAAUAAAACCUCCCACGUGUGGGAGCUUGUAUGUACCGUAUGAAUAAGCAUCGGCUAACUCCGUG